CACAGAUUUGCCUUCAGGCCAACUCGAUGGUGGCCUUUCCUCAACAGAGGCUCCCUGGUCCCAGAUGGCUCAAGCUUGGCUGGGGACCAAACCCAGGGCUACUGCCCCAUGGCCAUGUCUGCCUGCCUGCUGCCACAGUUCCCACCAUGACAGUCACGGACUCUAACCUUCUCAAGCUGACUUGCCUCAGAGAGGAAGGCAUUCAGGCUCUGGCCUGUCUGCAUUGAAGGUGCACCCAGAUGGCUGAUGGGAUGGAAAAGCCCAGAUUGCUGAACCGACUUCAGGCAGGACCAGCUGAGCUGCCCAGGCCUCUGGUCUCCAUCAGACCACAUCUCCUCUUUCUGCCUAACCUGAUUCUCUUUAUACCCAGACAGGUGUGCACACUGCAAAUGCACCCCUUCCCCUCAUAUCAACCAGUGGGGAGCUUAAGUGAUCAGUGAAUUCCAAGGGAUCCUUUCCCUAGGAUAUCUCUAUACACCAGUAAUAUGAUGAUGAUGAUGAUGAUGAUGAUGAUGAUGAUGAUGAUGAUGAUGAUGGAAAAAUUCUCUGUACUGCU
rnacentral:lncRNA from 1 species